rnacentral:rRNA from 1 species
UUAAAUUGAAGAGUUUGAUCAUGGCUCAGAUUGAACGCUGGCGGCAGGCCUAACACAUGCAAGUCGAACGGUAACAGGAAGCAGCUUGCUGUUUUGCUGACGAGUGGCGGACGGGUGAGUAAUGUCUGGGAAACUGCCUGAUGGAGGGGGAUAACUACUGGAAACGGUAGCUAAUACCGCAUAACGUCGCAAGACCAAAGAGGGGGACCUUAGGGCCUCUUGCCAUCGGAUGUGCCCAGAUGGGAUUAGCUAGUAGGUGGGGUAACGGCUCACCUAGGCGACGAUCCCUAGCUGGUCUGAGAGGAUGACCAGCCACACUGGAACUGAGACACGGUCCAGACUCCUACGGGAGGCAGCAGUGGGGAAUAUUGCACAAUGGGCGCAAGCCUGAUGCAGCCAUGCCGCGUGUAUGAAGAAGGCCUUCGGGUUGUAAAGUACUUUCAGCGGGGAGGAAGGGAGUAAAGUUAAUACCUUUGCUCAUUG